GGUAAUUUGAGCUUUUCAAAGAGUUAGUCAACUUUACUCCAACUAUAAAAUUCACGAUUGUAAGGUUCCUUUCUUAUUCUCUUAUCAGCUACAAUGUGACACUUUGACCUGCGCAAAUGUAUCAAAGAAAAAUGUUCUUGUCACACCUGAUACAACAGAUUUCCUGGUCACAUCAUGAGGAACUAGGUAAAUAUGCCCCCUUCGACUGAGUGGCAAGAAUCAUUUCCUGUCUGUUCUUUCAAGGAAGAAAGAAAAAGACCCCCAACCACCCCAAAAUA